UCGAAACCUGCAUAGCAGAACAACCAGCGAACAUGUUGUUUUCAUACAUGGGGGAGGCGUGGUGGCUUGCCAACUCCCUUCCCUAAGUGUCAUGGGGCUUUCCUUCGUGAUUGCUGUGUGGCACAACAACCAAACCCCGGCGCGUUAAGCGUCAAGGAAUAUGAUCAUGAGUUUGCCCGUCCAUGAUCGGGUUUCCGGUUUAUGGGUGUGGCAUCAAUGUUAAGUCAUAAAAUGA
rnacentral:misc_RNA from 1 species